UGUAUCUGAAGCCUGACGAGGAUGAGAACCUCCGGGGGCAAGAGGUUCGACCCGAGCGAAGCGAGAGAACGUUGCGCCAGCAACGGCCCGCAGUGGCGAGCCACGCAGUGGCGAGUCAUCCUCUAUCACCGACCA
rnacentral:sRNA from 3 species